rnacentral:rRNA from 1 species
UCGAUAGGUCAAGAUUCCUGGAAUGGGUUUUGGUCAAAACGAGGCAACAGCAUCUUGUUGUUUUUCGCCCGAGGAUGGGACUGCGGCCGAUCAGGCUGUUGGUGAGGUAAAGGCUCACCAAACCAGUAACCGGUACGGGCUUUGAGAGAAGGAGCCCGGAGAUGGACACUGAGACAAGGGUCCAGGUCCUACGGGGCGCAGCAGGCGCGAAACCUUCGCAAUGCGCGCAAGCGCGACGAGGUUAUUCCGAGUGAUUUCCGCUGAGGAAAUCUUUUCUCAGAUCUAAAAUGUCUGGGGAAUAAGGGGAGGGCAAGUCUGGUGUCAGCCGCCGCGGUAAUACCAGCUCCUCGAGUGGUCAGGGCGUUUAUUGGGCCUAAAGCAUCCGUAGCCGGCUCAUUAGGUCUCCUGUUAAAUCCAACGGCUCAACCGUUGGUCUGCAGGAGAUACCGAUGGGCUAGGAGGCGGGAGAGGCGGACGGUACUCCGAGGGUAGGGGUAAAAUCCUUUGAUCCCCGGAAGACCACCAGUGGCGAAGGCGGUCCGCCAGAACGCGCUCGACGGUGAGGGAUGAAAGCUGGGGGAGCGAACCGGAUUAGAUACCCGGGUAGUCCCAGCUGUAAACGAUGCGAGCUAGGUGACACAAGGCCUUCGGGGCCUUGUGGUGCCGCAGGGAAGCCGUUAAGCUCGCCAC